UACGGAGGGCGCAAGCGUUGUUCGGAAUUACUGGGCGUAAAGCGCACGUAGGCGGCCUUGUAAGAUGGGGGUGAAAUCCCCGGGCUCAACCCGGGAAUUGCCUUCAUGACUGCAAAGCUCGAGGAUGCGAGAGGUGAAUGGAAUUCCGAGUGUAGAGGUGAAAUUCGUAGAUAUUCGGAAGAACACCAGUGGCGAAGGCGAUUCACUGGCGCAUUUCUGACGCUGAGGUGUGAAAGCGUGGGGAGCAAACAGG
rnacentral:rRNA from 1 species